UGCUUUAGGAAACGGUUGCAACAUGUGAACAGUGUUAAACACCUUCUCCAUUGUGCAGCAGAACAUAGUUUUCGUUUCAAGCUGGGUAGAAGAAUAUUUCGGGAACCUGGAAAUGUCCUCAAAACAUUGCUCCUGCAGGAAUUCAUGGUCAGAGCAGCUCAGGAGCGUUUACAAAAAGACCUACAUACUUCAAACAGUAACCAAAAGACAAGUGAACAGGUGGUGAAUCAUCCAAAGGACACAGAACACCAGAUCUGAAGGCCAGACUGAACCAACGCCAAAGACACCAAAACUACUGGUGCAUUCAGGUGCUCCUCGUCAACUCAUCAGGUAAAAGACACUUCAUGUUUACUACCAGGAAGUUGACUGAAUCUAAAUAUCCGUACAACAGUGGAGAUUAUUCCUAGCUUCCA